AAGUCGUAACAAGGUUUCCGUAGGUGAACCUGCGGAAGGAUCAUUAAAGUUUGCUUAAUUGCAUCACACAUGUUUUUUUAGAGAACUUGCUUGCAAGAACACUAAUAAUUUACUUAGUCAACCAAUAUAAAUAUCAAAACUUUCAACAACGGAUCUCUUGGUUCUC
rnacentral:misc_RNA from 1 species